UCGAAUUAUAAGCAAGGGUUGUCGCUGGCCUUUCGAGGCAUGUGCACGCCCGAGCUCUUAAUCCAAACCACACCUGUGAACUCUCUGUAGGGCCUCUCCUGUCGUGGGAGGGCGUCCUAUGUUUAUCAUCAACUUUGUAUGUCUAUAGAAUGUCAAUCGAUGCCUUCGCCUUAAAACAGCGUCGGUAAACUUAUA
rnacentral:misc_RNA from 1 species